rnacentral:rRNA from 1 species
CAUUCAAAGAGUGCGUAAUAGCUCACUGGUCGAGCGUCUUUGCGCGGAGAAUUUAACGGGGCUAAACCUGACACCGAAGCUUAGGCAAUACAGCAAUGUAUUGGGUAGGGGAGCGUUGUAUACGCGGUGAAACAGUAGCGCAAGCGGCUGUGGAGUGUAUAGAAGUGAGAAUGCCGGAAUGAGUAGCGCGAAUGCAGUGAGAAUCUGCAUGGCCGAAAGCCUCAGGUUUUUGGAGGAAGGUUCGUCCGCUCCAAGUUAGUCGGGAGCUAAGGUGAGGCCGAAAGGCGUAGCCGAUGCACAGACGGUAGAGAUUCCGUCACCACCAAAAGAGUUAAGCACAGGGACACAUUUGAAGUCUCAGAGCCGGGUGUUGGUUCCGGUAGAGAUCGAGGGAAAAUAGUACCGAAGUCUGGGAUGGAAGAUGGCGAGAAAAGCUGUGUGGAUUUCUGAGGUGCCCGUACCGCAAACCGACACAGGUAGGUAGGAAGAAGAUUCUAAGGCCAACGGGAGAAGGGUUGUUAAGGAACUCGGCAAAUUGACCCCGUAACUUCGGGAGAAGGGGUGCUCCAGAGAUGGAGCCGCAGAGAAUCGGCCCAAGCAACUGUUUACCAAAAACACAGGUUUGUGCUAAAUCGAAAGAUGACGUAUACGAGCUGACGCCUGCCCGGUGCUGGAAGGUUAAGAGGAGAUGUGCAAGCAUUGAAUCGAAGCCCCAGUGAACGGCGGCCGUAACUAUAACGGUCCUAAGGUAGCGAAAUUCCUUGUCAGGUAAGUUCUGACCCGCAUGAAAGGCGUAAUGAUUUGGGCACUGUCUCAACAGCCCGCCCGGCGAAAUUGUAGUACCGGUGAAGAUGCCGGUUACCCGCGACAAGACGGAAAGACCCCAUGGAGCUUUACUGUAGCCUAAUAUUGGGUUUCGAUGUUGCAUGCACAGGAUAGAUGGGACACAGGGAAACAAGAGCUUUGGCUUUUGUGGAGUGGCCGUUGGGAUACCAUCCUUGCGAUAUUGGAAUUCUAACCUGCGCCUUUGAAUCAAGGCGGGGGACAUUGUUAGGUGGGCAGUUUGACUGGGGCGGUCGCCUCCUAAAGAGUAACGGAGGCGUUCAAAGGUUCGCUCAGCUUGAACGGAAAUCAAGCAAAAGAGUGCAAACGCAGAAGCGAGCCUAACUGCGAGACUGACGGGUCGAGCAGUAACGAAAGUUGGAGUUAGUGAUCCGGUGGUAUGUGAGUGGAAAUGCCAUCGCUCAACGGAUAAAAGUUACCCUGGGGAUAACAGGCUGAUCUCCCCCAAGAGUCCACAUCGACGGGGAGGUUUGGCACCUCGAUGUCGGCUCAUCGCAUCCUGGGGCUGUAUUCGGUCCCAAGGGUUUGGCUGUUCGCCAAUUAAAGCGGUACGCGAGCUGGGUUCAGAACGUCGUGAGACAGUUCGGUCCCUAUCUGUCGUGGGCGCAGGAUAUUUGAUGGGAGCUGUCCCUAGUACGAGAGGACCGGGACGGACGUACCUCUGGCGCACCAGUUGUUCCGCCAGGAGCAUAGCUGGGCAACUACGUACGGAUCGGAUAAACGCUGAAAGCAUCUAAGCGUGAAGCCGACCCAAAGAUAAGAUAUCCCACUGAUUUGAUCAGGUAAGAUCCCUUGAAGACUACAAGGUUGAUAGGCACGAUGUGUAAGUGGAGUGAUCCAUUCAGCAAGCGUGUACUAAUAGGUCGAGGGCUUGACCA